AACUAACGCUAUUAUUGAUACAGUUUCUGUACUAUAUUGGUACGCGAAGCUUCCAACCCGCCUCUGG
rnacentral:misc_RNA from 1 species